AGAAAAUGAUUAGAGCUGAUAAAUUCAGUACAGUUGCAGUAUACGAAAUCAACAUACAAAAAUCAGUAGCAUUUCUGUGUGCCAACAGUAAACAAUAUGAAAAAAAUUAGAAAACUAAUCCCAUUUAUAGUAGCCACACAUGAAAUUAAGUACCUGGGAAGUAACCAAAGAAGAUAAUUACAAAGAUCUCUGUAAUGAAAACUCUAAAACCCUGAUGAAAGACAUUAAAGAGGACACAAAAGAUGGAAAAAUAUUUCAUCUUCAUGGAUCGGAAGAAUCAAUAUUGUUAAAAUGUCCAUACUACCCAAAGCAAUCUACCGAUUGAGUGCAAUCCCUAGCAAAAUACCAAUGACAUUUUUCACAGAAACAGAAAAAAAAAAAAUCCUAAAAUUCAUGUUGAACCACAAAAGACCCAGAAUAGCCGAAGCUCUCAUAAUUGAAAAGAAACAAACUGGAGGAAUCAGAUUACCUGACUUCAAAUUAUACUACAGAGCUAUAGUAACCAAAACAGCAUAGUACUAGCAUAAAACAGACACAGACCAACGGAACAGAAUAGAGAAUCCAGAAACAAAUCCGCACAUCUACGGUGAACUCAUUUUCGACAAAGGUACCAAGAACAAACACUGGGGAAAAGACAAUCUCUUCAAUAAAUGGUGUUGGGAAAACUUGAUAUUCAUAUGCAGAAGAAUGAAGCUAGAUUCCUCUUUUGCCAUAUAAAAGUUAAAAAAAUUAUGUUAAGUAUCUUCUCUGAUCACAAUGGACUAUAACUAAAAAUCAAUAACGAGGAAUUUUGGAAACUCCACCAACACAUGGGAAUUAAACAAUAUGCUCCUGAAUGACCAACAGGUCAGUGAAGAAAUUAAGAAUGAAAUUAAACAAUUUCUUGAAGCAAAUGGCAAUGGCAGCACAGCAUACGAAACCUGUGGGAUAUAGUGAAAGCAAUACUAAGAGGAAAAUCAAAAAAGUAGAAAAACUUCAAAUAAAUAACCUAAUGAUACAUCUUAAAGAACUAGAAAUGAAGGAGCUAACCAAACCCAUAAUUUUAAGGACAGAAAUAAUAAAAAUUAGAGCAGAAAUAAAAUGGAGUUGAAAUGAAGAAAAUAAUACAAAAGAUCAAUGAAAUGAAAAGUUGGUUUUUCUAAAAGAUAAAUUGACAAGCUUUCAGGCAGGCUAAGAGAAAAAGAAGACCCAAAUCAGAGGUGAAAAAGUAGGCAUUACAACUGAUAUUGCAGAAAUUCAAAGGAUCAUUAGAGACUAUGAACAGCUAUAUGUCAAUAAAUUGGGAAACAUGGAAGAAAUAGAUAAGUUUGCAGGCUGGGCGUGGUGGCUCAUACCUGUAAUCCCAGCACCUUGGGAGGCUGAGGCGGGUGGAUCGCUUGAGGUCAGGAGUUUGAGACCAGUCUGGCCAACAUGGUGAAACUCCAUCUCUACUAAAAAUACAAAAAUUAACCAGGUGUGGUUUUGCGUGCCUGUAAUUCCAGCCACUUGGAAGGCUGAGGCACGAGAGUCACUUGAGCCCUGGGAGGGGGAGGUUGCAGUGUGCUGAGAUCAUGUUACUGCACUCCACCCUGGGUGAAAGAGUGAGACUGUGUCUUCAAAAAAAGAAGGAAAAAGAAAUGGAUAAUUUCACAGGCACAUACAGCCUUCCAAGUUUGAACCAUGAAGAAAUCCAGAACCUGAACAUACCAAUAACAGGUAAUGAGAUUGAAACUGUAAUAAUAAAAAGUCUUCCAGCAAAGAAAAACCCCAGGACCCAGUGACUUCACUGCUGAAUUUUACCAAAUAUUUAAAGAAGAACUAUUACCAAUCCUAGUGAAACUAUUCUGAAAAAUAGAGGAGGAGGGAAUACUUCCAAACUUACUGUAGAAGGCCAAUAUUACCCUGAUACCAAAACCAGACAAAGACAUAAUCAAAAAAACAAAACAGGCCAGUAUCCCAGAUGAACAUUGAUGCAGAAAUACCCAACAAAAUACCAGCAAACCGAAUUCAACAACACAUUAGAAACAUCGUUCAUCAUGACCAAAGUGGGGUUUAUCCCAGGGAUGCCAGGAUGGUUCACCAUAUCCAAAUCAAUCAGUUUGAUACAUCAUAUCAAUAGAAUGAAGGAUAAAAAACCAUAUGAUCAUUUAAAUUCAUGCUGAAAAGGCAUUUGAUAAAAUUCAACAUCCUUUCAUGAUAAAAACCCCAAAAAACUGGUUAUAGAAGGAACACACCUCAACGCAAUAAAAGCCAUAUACAACUGACACACAGCUAGUAUCAUACUGAAAGGUGAAAAACUGAAAGCCUUUCCUCUAAGAUCUGGAACAAGACACGGAUGCCCACUGUCACCACUGUUAUUCAAUAUAAUAAUGGAAGCCCUUGCUAGAGGAGUCAGAUAAGAGAGAGAAAGGCCGGGUGCAGUGGCUCACACCUAUAAUCCCAGCACUUUGGGAGGCUGAGGUGAGUGGAUCACUUGAGGUCAGGAGUUUGAAGCCUGGCCAACAUGGUGAUACCCUAUCUCUACUAAAAAUAUAAAAAUUAGCUAGGCGUGGUGGCGGGUGUCUGUUGUCCCAGCUACUCGGGAGGCUGAGGCAGGGAAAUCACUUGAACCCCAGAGGUGGAGAUUGCAGUGAGCUGAGAUUGUGCCGCUAUAUUCCAGCCUGGGCUAUGGAGCAAGACUCCAUCUCAGAAAAAAAAAAAAAGAAGAAGAAAUAAAGGGCAUCUAAAUUGGAAAUGAAGAUGCCAAGUUACUCUUGUUUGCAGAUGAUUGUU
rnacentral:lncRNA from 10 species